rnacentral:tRNA from 1 species
GGAGAGGUGACAGAGUGGCCGAUUGUGCUGGUUUCGAAAACCAGUGUGGGGAAACUCACCGGGGGUUCGAAUCCCCCUCUCUCCGC